rfam:Gossypium raimondii Chr12_contig_801, whole genome shotgun sequence.
AAUAAGAGAAUGACAAAUCAAAUUUUUUCUCUUGAUAUUUAGCUUUUUCUUCCUGAAAAAAAUUCAAAUCCAACUAAAAAUGCUGAAUAUUAGGAGAAAAAAAAAAUCUAAGUUGUCAUUCUCCUAUU